rnacentral:rRNA from 1 species
UACGUAGGGGGCAAGCGUUGUCCGGAUUUAUUGGGCAUAAAGAGCGUGUAGGCGGUUUGGUAGGUCCGCUGUGAAAACUCGAGGCUCAACCUCGAGACGCCGGUGGAAACCAUCAGACUAGAGUCCGGAAGAGGAGAGUGGAAUUCCUGGUGUAGCGGUGAAAUGCGCAGAUAUCAGGAAGAACACCCGUGGCUAAGGCGGCUCUCUAGUACGGUACUGACGCUGAGACGCGAAAGCGUGGGGAGCGAACAGG